rnacentral:rRNA from 1 species
GAUGAACGCUGGCGGCGUGCCUAACACAUGCAAGUCGAACGGAGUCCAGCCUUAGAGACCUUCGGGUCAAAGAGGGGAAGACUGAGUGGCGAACGGGUGAGUAACACGUGGGCAACCUGGCUCAUAGAGGGGGAUAACAGAGAGAAAUUUCUGCUAAUACCGCAUAAGCACACACUGCCGCAUGGCAGAGUGUGAAAAGAGAAUCGCUAUGAGAUGGACCCGCGUCUGAUUAGCCAGUUGGCAGGGUAAGAGCCUACCAAAGCGACGAUCAGUAGCCGAUCUGAGAGGAUGAACGGCCACAUUGGGACUGAGACACGGCCCAAACUCCUACGGGAGGCAGCAGUGGGGGAUAUUGCACAAUGGGGGGAACCCUGAUGCAGCGACGCCGCGUGAGUGAAGAAGUAUUUCGGUAUGUAAAGCUCUAUCAGCAGGGAAGAUAAUGACAGUACCU